GAUGAACGCUGGCGGCGUGCUUAACACAUGCAAGUCGAACGAAGCACUUUAUUUGAUUUCCUUCGGGACUGAUUAUUUUGUGACUGAGUGGCGGACGGGUGAGUAACGCGUGGGUAACCUGCCUUGUACAGGGGGAUAACAGUUGGAAACGGCUGCUAAUACCGCAUAAGCGCACAGCAUCGCAUGAUGCAGUGUGAAAAACUCCGGUGGUAUAAGAUGGACCCGCGUUGGAUUAGCUAGUUGGUGAGGUAACGGCCCACCAAGGCGACGAUCCAUAGCCGAGCUGAGAGGGUGACCGGCCACAUUGUGACUGAGACACGGCCCAAACUCCUACGGGAGGCAGCAGUGGGGAAUAUUGCACAAUGGGCGAAAGCCUGAUGCAGCGACGCCGCGUGAGCGAAGAAGUAUUUCGGUAUGUAAAGCUCUAUCAGCAGGGAAGAUAAUGACGGUACCUGACUAAGAAGCACCGGCUAAAUACGUG
rnacentral:rRNA from 1 species